UUGAGAAUGGGGGGAGGGGUUGGUUUUUUGGCUUUCAUUUUUCAAUAUGCAGAUUGGGGAAAUUAGAGAGGAGAAUGAGAAGAAAUAGGAAAGUGAGAACAUGAGAGAGAGAUAGCCGUGAUUCAUCUUCUUCGGCUCCACCUUUCUCCGUUUCAACAAUGGAUUAACUCAUAAAUUUGAUUCAAUUUUUGUCAUGGAACCACUAAUACUCAAGAAUCGAAUCGCUCGCAGCUUGAAGCUUGGUAACCGCAAAAGCAAAGGGAACGAACAGAUUCAGGAAUGUCUUCCUUUUUUGGCAUUUUUGCUUUGAAAAGGGAGCACCACAACUAGCUGCGCUCUUGAAGAAGGAAUGGACUGUAGUAUAGUCUACCUCCUCUCCUCUUUAGACCAAGUAUAAGGGAGCCAUAUCCACACCACUCAAGAUUAACAGUUUUUCAAACAGAGCUUUUUAAAGCAGUUGGACUGGACAUUUGUUUUAGGAAUAGUAUGAAAAUAGGGAGUUUGUUUUGUUUAUUUUUACUUUAAUUCUUGUUGAAUGAUUCUUGGAACAUAUGUUAAGGAAUCAAUGAUGGGCUGAAAUGUGAACCUCUAUACAUAGCACUAUCCAGUACACAGUAGUAUUCACAAUUUUAACAGGUUUUAUGGAAUUGAACUUCGAUAAAUAUAUUUUCAUGCACUGAUCC